rnacentral:rRNA from 1 species
UUAUGCGUACCACAAUUCAAACCCACUCUGCGUACCUUUCCUGUUGCUUCCAUGGGAGCGGCUAACCUUCCUCCUGCGUGGGGGAGGUCCCCCGAGACAAGCCCCUGCUAUCGAUGCAGGCGGUGUGGUCUUGGUCCAUGAAGACACCUUCCUGCGGAGGGUGUGAAGAAAACCAUUUGCAUUAUCUUGCCAUCAGUCUGAAUUUUGUUAAUAACAAUCGUUAAAACUUUCAACAACGGAUCUCUUGGUUCUCGCAUCGAUGAAGAACGCAGCGAAAUGCGAUAAGUAGUGUGAAUUGCAGAAUUCAGUGAAUCAUCGAAUCUUUGAACGCACAUUGCGCCUCCUGGCAUUCCGGGAGGCAUGCCUGUUCGAGCGUCAUAAAAACCCACUCAAGCUCUUUGGCUUGGUUAUGGAGGUUGAGCUACACCCUUUGGUGACCUCACCUUCGAAAUUGAGAGGCGGAUUGCCCCGUGUUGCCCUGGCGUUAUAAGUUUGCUCUUUCGCUUGGAUUCCAUG